rfam:Tetraodon nigroviridis, WGS project CAAE01000000 data, contig: CNS0BRW9, chromosome: undetermined
GCGAUGGUGGUAUAGUGGCGAGCAUAGCUGCCUUCCAAGCAGUUGACCCGGGUUCGAUUCCCGGCCAUCGCA